UCAUAGACAUGUCUGAGUGGUUAUGUUUUGUUGUUUCACACACACUCAUUCCCUUAGCAUGUAAAUACAACAAGGAUGUAAAUAUAGAGGAUUCAGGUGAACGGAACGAGAGCUAACCCUGAAGGGCAGGGUUGUUUUUAGUUCUAGUGAGUGUCUGCUGCUGUAAGAGUGAAAGCCAGACAAGUCAAGUUCCAGUGUGUGUGUGUGUCACGGGGACCACACAGAAGAACCUAAAGAGAAGAUCUAGUGAUUGUGAGUAAGGGAAUAUCACAACACGUUCACAUCACUUCUGGGGAAGUGAUAGAAGAAUUAGUUUCUAAGAAGUUAGAAGAAGUUAGAAGAAGUAGUUUAUAAGAAGUUUGAACUGUUAUUAAGAAGGAUUUACAGUUUUGGGAAGAUUUGUUUGUAAUCACAUUACCACACCACUCACGAGGUUAAGUGAGUGAGAGUUGUGUUUGAGGUCUGUGUAGAGUGACGUGCAGUGAUAGUUAGUGCAGCGUCAGUGUGCUAACCCAUUACCAAUUUGUUAACAAUUCAUUUACUAACCCAUUUAACCAAUUGUUACCAAUUUAGUUACUAACCCAAA